GCUUGUCUCAAAGAUUAAGCCAUGCAUGUCUAAGUAUAAACAACUUUAUACUGUAAAACUGCGAACGGCUCAUUAUAUCAGCAAUAAUUUAUUUGAUGGUUUCUUACCCCAUGGAUAACUGUGGUAAUUCUAGAGCUAAUACAUGCAUCAUCCCCCAUCUCGGGGUGUAUUUAUUAGAUGGAAACCAAUGCGGGGCAACCCGGAAUAUGGUGAAUCAUAAUAACUGUCGUAUCGAGCAAUCGAAGCGCCAUACAAGUUUCUGCCCUAUCAGCUUUGGAUGGUAGGGUAUUGGCCUACCAUGGCUUUAACGGGUAACGGAGAAUUAGGGUUCGAUUCCGGAGAGGGAGCCUGAGAAACGGCUACCACAUCCAAGGAAGGCAGCAGG
rnacentral:rRNA from 1 species